AACAGUUGCUUAUCACCAGCCAUCUUGAGCAGUUCUCAUUAGCACACAGUUAGUCGAAAUGAAGUUCCUGAUAUUCUCGGUAGUUCUUUGCACUCUUUGCAUAGUUUCAUGUGAAGAACCUUGUUCUACCAAAACACCAGAUUGCGUUCCCACAGCUGAGCAUGCUGAACCUGGAGCGCAGUUCAAAGCUGUCGGAAUUUGGAUCGUUGGACCGAAGAAAGGGCAAAUAAUCUAUUAUCAGAAAGAGUUGCAGCAACAGAAAUAAAUGCUGGCGGAAAUGCGUCGAAAUGGCACGUGGCCUCCUAAAGAAGAUGAACAAGAUCAUUAAUAAAGUCAUGAACAUGUCUCUAAGUUUUUUUUUCUAUUUAAAUUACUGUUGUGUCAUCCUCAAUAAGCUGCACCAAGAAACCAGAAUAUUCUUUAUCAUCACCAAACUGUGACAAAACUGUCUUAGUUCCCUUCCAGCAGUGCUCGGUUCCAGACGUAUAAAUUCGUCCAUUGUACCCAAAUCAGUGGCGAAAAUGAAGACUAUCCUCUUACUCCUACUGCUCGGUGCAAUUGUGUCCACUUCGGUUGGGAAACCGUGCUCCAUCAAGAUUCUCAAAUGUCUCGAUACGCCGCUCUAUAGUGACGAUGGACAAAAACCGCUUGGAGUCUGGAUAGUUGGGCCAAAAAAGGGUGAGGUCAUCUACGACUUGGAUGAGGUUGAGCAACAAAGAGAUAUGCUGGCUGAAAUUCGACGGAAUGGUGCGCUUGUUGGUGAAUUGUCGUAAUUGAAAUAGUUUGUUGC